GUCUAUGGCCAUGCCACCCUGAACAAGCCCUGUGUCUGAUCUUGGAAGCUAAGCAGGGUCCGGCAUGGUUAGUAUUUAAAUGGGAGACCACCUAGGAAGAGCAGGUGCCAUAGGCA
rnacentral:rRNA from 1 species